rnacentral:rRNA from 1 species
ACCGCAUACGACCUACGGGAGAAAGGGGGCAGUUUACUGCUCUCGCUAUUAGAUGAGCCUAAGUCGGAUUAGCUAGUUGGUGGGGUAAAGGCCUACCAAGGCGACGAUCUGUAGCUGGUCUGAGAGGAUGAUCAGCCACACCGGGACUGAGACACGGCCCGGACUCCUACGGGAGGCAGCAGUGGGGAAUAUUGGACAAUGGGGGGAACCCUGAUCCAGCCAUGCCGCGUGUGUGAAGAAGGCCUUUUGGUUGUAAAGCACUUUAAGCAGUGAAGAAGACCUAACGGUUAAUACCCGUUAGCGAUGACAUUAGCUGCAGAAUAAGCACCGGCUAACUCUGUGCCAGCAGCCGCGGUAAUACAGAGGGUGCAAGCGUUAAUCGGAAUUACUGGGCGUAAAGCGAGCGUAGGUGGCUUGAUAAGUCAGAUGUGAAAUCCCCGGGCUUAACCUGGGAACUGCAUCUGAUACUGUUAAGCUAGAGUAGGUGAGAGGGAAGUAGAAUUCCAGGUGUAGCGGUGAAAUGCGUAGAGAUCUGGAGGAAUACCGAUGGCGAAGGCAGCUUCCUGGCAUCAUACUGACACUGAGGCUCGAAAGCGUGGGUAGCAAACAGGAUUAGAUACCCUGGUAGUCCACGCCGUAAACGAUGUCUACUAGUCGUUGGGUCCCUUGAGGACUUAGUGACGCAGCUAACGCAAUAAGUAGACCGCCUGGGGAGUACGGCCGCAAGGUUAAAACUCAAAUGAAUUGACGGGGGCCCGCACAAGCGGUGGA